GCAGAACUGAUAAAGACCUGGCCGUGCCCAUGACGUCACUCACUGUUGAGCAGUGGCACAUAGAUGCCUUGAGCUCCGUUGCCAGGGCUGGUCAGCAUGCUAAAAGGGGAACAAAUUCCACAACUGCGUGCCUCCCUCCUCAUGCAGUCUCAGCUGGGAUGCUCUAAGCAGGCCCCAGCCGACGUCUUCCUCUCCCCUUCUUCACUUGAAUUUUGUCUGCUUCUCUAGAAUGGCAUUUAUCCAAUUUGCCUUGUAAGGGCAGGAAGUGUGAUGCAAUGACAGAGAGCGAGCUCCGUGAGGUCUGUUUCUUCCUGACUUUGUGAUUUGGGGGAAAUGACUUAAAUUCUCCAUGUUUCUGCUUUCUCCCCUGCAGAACAGAGCUCAUCAUAAUACCCAUCUCAUAGAUCAACGCAUUAACACAUGCAAAUUAAAACAAUAUGUAGGUCGAUUAAAAGAUUACUAAUACAUGUUGAGUGGUUUGACGGAAGCCUGGCGUGUGGUCGUGAGCAGGCAGCGGAUGCCAGCUGCUAUUUUCCCUGUCACUGGUGCAGGAUUAUCUCUGGGGUGACAAUGUAAUAAUAAUAACAAUAAUAAUGGUGGUGGCGAUGAUGACAGCAGCUGCCUUUUCAUGGGCACAUAAUCCAUAGCAGACACUGCUUCUAGGGCAACGCUUUUAUGUCAUAAAAUCCUUGUCCUUCACCGUAGGGAAGUGACUUGCUCCAGGUGAUACAGCUUGUGAAAUGUCACCACUAGGGUUCAAACCCAAGUGCUGUCCAGUUUCACAGGUGAUCUAUUAGUUCAUUCAAACAAUCACAGGGCACAAUGAGAUAUGAUUUCACAUCCACUAGAAUGGCCACAAGCAAAAAGUCAGACAAUGCCUAUGGUCGGCGAGAAUGUAGAGAGAUAGGGGCCUCAUUCACUGCUGGUGAGAAUAAUGGGAGGUGGUGUCCCUGCUUUGGAAAGCAGGUGGCAGUUGCUUAAAAAGUUAAACAUAAAUUCACCAUGCGAUCCAACAAUUCCACCGUAGGUAUUUACUUAAGAGAAGUGGAAACUCAGGUCUACUUAAAGACUCAGUCCUAAAUGUUCACAGCAGUGUUGGUCAUAGUCACCAACAGUGGAAAUGUUACCUGGCAGCCCAUCAGCUGGUGAGUGAAUAAAAAAGUGGCACAUCCAUAUACUGGAAUUCUAUUUGGCAAAGAAAAGGAAUGAGCUACCCAUACACACUACAGCCUUAUGUUGAGUGAAACAAGCCAGACGUAAAAGACCAUGUACAUAUAUUGUCAGAUUUCAUUUAUUUAUAUGAUAUGUCCAGAAUAGGCAAAGUUAUAGAGUCAGAAAGUAGACUCGUGGUUGUCUGGGGGAUGGAGGUAGAAAUGAAGAUUAAGUUGUUUUUUUUUUUUUUUUUUUUUUUUUGAGACAGGGUCUUGUUGUCGCCCAGGCUGGAGUGCAAUGGUGCAAUCUUGGCUCACUGCAAACUCUGCCUCCCGGGUUCAAGAAAUUCUCAUGCCUCAGCUUCCUAAGUAGCUAGGAUUACAGGUGCCCGCCACCACGCCUGGCUAAUUUUUGUAUGUUUAGUAGAGAUGAGGUUUCGCCAUGUUGGCCAGGCUGGUCUCGAACUACUGACCUCAGGUGAUCCGUCCACCCCAGCCUCCCAAAAUGCUGAGAUUAUAGGCGUGAGCCACCCCGCCUGGCCCAAGAUUAAGUUUAAAUGAACAUGAAGUAAAAUCCUUUACUAGGGUCAUGAAAAUGUUCUAAAACUAGCUGAUGGUAAUGGACUCACACCUCAGUAAAUUUACUAAAAAUCAUUGAAUUGUACACUUAACAUUGGUGAAUUUGAUGAUAUGUACAUAAUAUCUCAAUUAAGCUGUUAAAAGUGCAGCAGUAGGCUGGGUACGGUGGCUCAGGUCCGUAAUUUUAGCACUUUGGCAGGCUGAGGUGGGAGGAUUGCUUGAGCACAGGUUGUUUGAGACUAGCCUGGGCAACAUGAGGAGACCCUAUGUCCACAGGGGAAAAAAAAAAAAAAAAGAGAGAAAGAAAAAAGAAAUUAGCUGGGUUUAGUGGCAUGUGCCUCUGGUCCCAGCUACUUGGGAAGCUGAAAUGGAAGAAUCGCUUGAGCCCAGGAAUUCAAGGCUGCAGUGAGCCAUGACUGUGUCACUGCACUCCAUCCUGAGCAACAGAGUGAGACUGUGUCUAAAAAAAAAAAAAAAAAAAAAAAACAACACGCAGUUGUGAACAAAAAGUUUUUGCUGUCAUGCUGUUUACAUUACAUUUGGUGGUGAGGGCUUGGGGGAUGGAGUAGGGGAAGGAUCAUGAAGACGUGGAUACUGAAGAGGCAAAGAGCCACUGGAGGGAACAUUGGGGCAGGGGAGUCACGGGUGCACAGACUUGGCCUGCUGGGGGAGCUGAUAGGAGGUUUGGGUCUCACAGGAGUGAGAGGCGCCUGGGGUGGAUCACACUGAGUCUCCUGGGCCCCAGGGAGGCACUGGAUUUGCCCUAAGUGGGGGGAGGCAGGAGGAACUGGGAGAAGCAGCCCAGUACCCAGCAGGGGCUAUGGAGCAGGAGUCAAAGAGAGUGGGCCCUGGCACCCUGUGAUGCGGGAGGAGGCACUGGGGCUCCCUGGGGUGGAGUUUGGGUUUUUACUGAAAUUCCCUGGUGUUGUCACUGCACAAGUGCCGGGCUUGUUUCUGGCUUCCAAAAGAAGUUACUUAAUUUCUCUGGCCUGUUUCCAUAUUGAUAAAACAGACAUAGAACUUUCUUUGGAAGGCUAGUAGAGGCAUUCAUUCAUUCAUUGAGCGAACAUUUACUGAGCACCUACUGCGUGCCACUCUGUCUUCUGGGCGCUGGGGAUAUAUCAUCAAUUACAAGAAAAAUCCUUGCAUGCGUAGACAUUUCAGCCUGAACAGAGCUCAUUUGUAGAAAUUGGUGCGUGCACCCCAGCUGGUGGCUGCCAUUUGUUGUGCUCCAAUACAUCAUCAUGUGCAUGGCAUUGCUGUAAUUUAGAGCAGGUGCCCAGGUGUCUGUCUCCUUCACAGCCACAGCCACUCCCUUCUGACCUCCCUCUCAUGGAUGUGGGAUGCUAUCCUUUGCGAAAUGGACCACAAAUACAGGGUUAACCCCCACACCCCCAGGUUUCCCAAAUGUCCCCUGGCUCUUGGGGGUUCUGCUUGGAAGGAUCACAUCCUGCUUUUACCCCUUCCUUGCUGUAGGGCCUUAGGCAAGUUUCUUCAUCCCAUUCCAGGAUCGUAGCUACCUGGUGCAGCACCUUUGUGCAAAUUAGGUGCUCCCUUUCCAGAGGAGCCCAUCCCGCACCAAGUGCUGCCUAAGGAGUGGCUGGUGUAUUUCUUCAAAUUAGAACACAAUACUCCUUCCCUUGAUGCAAGCAAGGCAGGCAUGUGGCUUGUUGAGCAAAGCACAGGCUAGAAUUUAGUCAGUGUUUGCUCCUCUGCCCAGUACCUUCGUGUAGUGAACACCCGCUCAUCCGUACGGCAGUGGCAAGGCUAAACCACAGCGUUGUGUGAAGCUGAAGUGAGACAACACUCACUGUAGACACUCAGCGUGACACCCAUCACGUAUUACAGACUAUAUAGUUGACCUUUGAAUAGCACAGGUUUGAACUGUGCAGGUCCACUUACUUGUGGAUUUUUUUCAAUAAAUACAUUGGAAACAUUUUCAGAGAUUUGCAACAAUUUGAAAAAACUUACAGAGGAACUACAAGCCUAGAAAUAUAUUUUUAAAAUUAAGCAAAAGUUAAGUAUGCCACGAAUACAAAAAAUAUAUGUAGGUACUAGUCUAUUUACUGCCACUAGUCUAUUUACUGCCAUACAUACUAGUCUAUGUAUGCCAAAAUGGAUACAAAGCUUUUUUUUUUUUUUUUUUUGAGACAGGAUCUGGCUCUAUUACCCAGGCUGGAGUGCAAUGACAUGAUCUCGGCUCACUGCAACCUCUGCGUCCCAGGCUGAAACCAUCCUUCCACCUCAGCCUCCCAAGUACCUGGGACUACAGGCACACGCCACCAUGCCCAGCUAAAUUUUUUGUAUUUUUGGUAAAGACAGGGUUUCUCCAUGUUGCCCAGGCUGGGCAAAUCUCUUAUAGAAAGUUAAAAUUGGCAGGGUACCGUGGUUCACGCCUGUAAUCCCAGCACUUUGGGAGGCCGAAGCGGGUGGGUCAACUGAGGUCAGGGGUUCGAGACAGGCCUGGCCAACAUGGUGAAACCCCAUCUCUACUUACAAUACAAAAAAUUAGCCAGGUGUGGUGGUAGGUGCCUGUAAUCCCAGCCACUUGGGAGGCUGAGGCAGGAGAAUUGCUUGAACCUGGGAGGCGGAGGUUGCAGUGAGCCAAGAUCACACCAUUGCACUCCAGCCUGGGAGACAGAGCAAGACUCUGUCUAAAAACAAAACAAAACAAAAAAGUUAAAAUUUAUCAAAAAUAUAUGCACGCAAACACAAACUCUAUUUGAUGCCAUUUGAAGUCAAGAGAAAUGCAAGCAAACAUAAAGAUGUGCAGUAUUAAAGUCAUAAGUGCAUAUUUACUGUAGACAUACUGUACUCCUAUAAUAAUUUCGUAGCCACCUCCUGUGCUUUCUCCGUGAGCUCAACUGUUGAGUAUCUGCUUCCAACACCACGUGAAGCUAAUCACCUCCUGGUGAGCAGUUCUCGCCAGUACACUGUGUACAGAAGUAAAAAGUGAUCUUUCAUAGUCAUUGCAUAUGUUUCACCAUGUUUAAUGCAAUACCGUAAACUUUGAAUAACCCCCUUGGCCCCAAAUGCGGGGCCACUAGUGAUGCCAGAGCUGCUUCCAAGAAGCAAAGAAAAGUCAUGACAUUAUAAAAAAGGGUUGAACUGCUUGAUAUCUACCACAGAUUGAGAUCUGCAGCCGCGGUUACUGCCGCUUGAGACAGACAACUUCUCUUAUAAACAGACAACAAAACUUACAGUAUUGAUAAAUACAGCACAGUGCUGUGAAGGUAUUUUCUCUUUCUAAUAAUGUUUUCAGUAACAUGUACUUUUCUCUAGCUUACUUUAUUGUAAGAAUACAGCACAUAAUAUAUAUAACAUACAAAAUAUGUCUUUUUUCUUUUUUUUCCAGAGACAGGAUCUUGCUCUGUCACCCAGGCUGGAGUGCAGUGGUGCGAUCAUGGCAUUGCAGCCUCAAUCCUGGGCUCAAGGGAUCCUCCCACCUCAGACCCCUGAGUAGCUGGGACUACAGGCACGCACCACCACGCCCAGCUAAUUAUUUUUAUUUUUAUUAUUUGUAGAGGUGGGGGUCUCACUAUCUUGCCCAGGCUGCUCUUGAACUCCUGGCUUCGAGCAGUCUUCCCGCCUCGGCCUCCUAAAGUGCUGGGAUUACAGGCAUAAGCCACUGUGCCUGGCUUCAAAUAUGUCUUACUCAAUUGUUUAUAUACUGGGUAAAGCUUUUGGUCAACAGUAGGCUAUUAGUAGUUGAACUUUGGGGGAGUCAAAGUCAUGCACAGAUUUUCCACUGCGUGGGGUUCGGCACCCCAUCCCCACGUUGUUCAAGAGUCAACUCCGUAGCCUUUGCCCAUCACUGCGGGACCUUGCAUUUUCCCUCCCCGGCUGAAGCAUCUUUUCCUGCCAGCCUCCGUUCCAAGCUCCAAGGCUGCCCCCUUGCGAGUUUCACAUGGUAUAACAGCGUCAUUAUCCUGCCUCCUGCCUCCUCUCCUACUCGGAAAUCAAAUGUUCUCUCCUGGGAACUGAUUUCAGAGUAGCUGUCCUCAAGUGCAUCACCGGAGUGGCAGUUCCUGUGGGUCAGAAACAGACUGCCUCCUCCUUCCCAUGGAGAAGCCGAGACUCAGGCAAGCUGGCGAGCCCUGCCAAGAUCACCGGGCUAGUUAAGCCGAAGAAUCAAGAUUCAAGUUCUCAUGUUUGUCUGUCUGCAAAGCCAGUAUGCUUUUCCUAACAAGACACCAGACUCUCUAAUCUGCUGGUUUGAUCAGUAAACCACUGUGACUCCAUUUCCUUCCCCCCAGGCCCCAUGAAGACUUUCCCCUCUCCUCAUCCCCACUCUGACUCCACAGACUGAAAAGAGUUCACUGGUUCUUUGAAGUGGCAUCUGAGCCAUUUUUAUUGUGAGCUCUGUCUCCCUGGCAGGUUAAUCCACACCAGUGUGUCCAUCU
rnacentral:lncRNA from 1 species